rnacentral:lncRNA from 1 species
CCAGAUCAGAACCAGAAGGUAUGACCUGUUAUGUUCUCUUGGUAAGUGCGCGAAUUUACCAAUUUUCCUGUCCUGUGUGGUGGUUAAUUUCUUUACUAUCAAAUCAGGAGAGACAAACUUAUCACACAAGUCAGAGUUAUACUUAAACUAAAUCUUUAAUCACAUAUUAAUAAGGGAGCAAGUCAAUACAACGCACACAUAUACAGUGAAUCGAUUGAGUGCUCUACGAUAAUAAUGGCUGGUCGACGAAUCACCCUCAGAUGAUUUGUUGAGAGCCCCGAGACAAAAGUACAAAGGUCUUUUAUAGCCAAGAUACACCCCUUUCAACCUACAUGACGAACACCAGAUGUAUAGAAUGGGUCACAAGGUUAAGAUUUGUAUGAAGGAUACAUUUUCAUUGUGUAGAGACCAGUGUCUGGCCCUCCAAAUCCAUACGGGAGCCAUGUCUCCCUGGUACCGUAUAGAACAGAAUACAUUAACUCAUGCUCUGGAAUGCGGUAUCCCUAAAGUCAUCGUAAAUCUCCUGUCAGUGUUAUCUCCCAGAGGCCCAUCCGCAGUAGAACACAUACAGAUGAGCGGUCUAACAACUCAUUAUUCUGUUGCAUUGGUCUGGAGCGGUCUGGAGCGGUCCAUCUUUGAGUGGAACGCCCCCUGGCUGUGGACCAGUGGUGAUGUUGAUGAGGUGGUGAAGUACAGUGAGUGGCACAGCUGCUUCCCCCUCAACCCCAUCAAUUACCACUGUGGUAAGAUGGUCCGGGUUGGUAACGGAGAACUGAAGUGGCUGGAUGCUUCCUGUCGUCAGGAAUUACCCUUCAUAUGUCAAGUAUAUGAUGUUUCAAGAGACCUCCACUAGAGGGCUCUCCAUGGCAGCCUGGACAGUCUGCAGACAGACACCACACUGAUCUACCAGAGAGACUACCACACUCAUGGUCUGGAAGGAACCUGCAAUUCAAUUCAUUAUAUUAUUACACCACUAUAACUACUAUUAUUAAUAUUACUAUUAUUACUAUUAUUAAUAUUAUAACUACUUUUCUUAUUAUUAUAAUAUUACUAUUACUACUACCUUUCUUAAUAUUAUCAUCUCUGUUACAUGAUAUUACUUCAUGAUACUGUAUGUACAUAGACUGACUCAUAAGCAUUGUUAUUUGACCUAUAAUUUACUGUAAUACUUUUAUUGUUUUAAAAUAGAGUAAAGAAAGGUAAAGUAA